rnacentral:rRNA from 1 species
GCCUCCUGCUAAAUCAAUGUAUAGGAGGUCUUGCCUGCCCAGUGACAAGUUAAACGGCCGCGGUAUUUUGACCGUGCAAAGGUAGCGCAAUCACUUGUCUUUUAAAUGAAGACCUGUAUGAAUGGUAGAACGAGGGCUUAACUGUCUCCCCUUUCAGGUCAAUGAAAUUGAUCUAUCCGUGCAGAAGCGGACAUACAAAUACAAGACGAGAAGACCCUUUGGAGCUUAAGACACAAGGCCAACUAUGUUAAUAUAUUAAAAAUAAAACUAAACUAAAUAGAAUCUGGCCCCAGUCUUCGGUUGGGGCGACCACGGAAGAAAAUAAAGCUUCCAUGCGGACUGGGGCCUAAGGCCCUAAAACUAAGAAAAACAUUUCUAAGCAGCAGAACAUCUGACCCAUGAGAUCCGGCAACUCUGCCGACAAACGGACCAAGUUACCCUAGGGAUAACAGCGCAAUCCCCUUUAAGAGUCCAUAUCGACAAGGGGGUUUACGACCUCGAUGUUGGAUCAGGACAUCCUAAUGGUGCAGCCGCUAUUAAGGGUUCGUUUGUUCAACGAUUAAAGUCCU